UACGGGAGGCAGCAGGGGGAAUAUUGCACAAUGGGCGAAAGCCUGAUGCAGCUAUGCCGCGUGUAUGAAGAAGGCCUUAGGGUUGUAAAGUACUUUCAUCGGGGAGGAAAAAACAAAACUAAUAAUUUUAUUUCUUGACGUUACCCGAAAAAGAAGCACCGGCUAACUCCGUGCCAGCAGCCGCGGUAAUACGGAGGGUGCUAGCGUUAAUCAGAAUUACUGGGCGUAAAGAGCACGUAGGUGGUUUUUUUAAAGUCAGAUGUGAAAUCCCUGGGCUUAACCUAGGAACUGCAUUUUGAAACUGAAAUACUAGAGUAUCGUAGAGGGAGGUAGAAUUCUAGGUGUAGCGGUGAAAUGCGUAGAUAUCUGGAGGAAUACCUGUGGCGAAAGCGGCCUCCUAAACGAAUACUGACACUGAGGGUGCGAAAAGCGUGGGGAGCGAAAACAGGGAUUAGAUACC
rnacentral:rRNA from 1 species